UGAACGACGUCGAAAGGACGAGUACACGAAGGUAGUGAGUCAAGCGAUCCGGGGGUGGUGUGAGCCCGGUCUUAACCCUUCGUCGAAAAACUUCCUGGAGUCGCUACCCGAACGCUUUGCCAGUAGACGUAGCCGGACCGCUCCCCGUUAUCGGAGUUACGAGAUGAUUGUCUCGAAAAAGUGAGUAGAUUCGUCUACUAAUUUGGGUGGCACCGCGGAACCGAAGUCUUCCGUCCCAUGU
rfam:Exiguobacterium sp. AT1b, complete genome.